rnacentral:lncRNA from 1 species
UUAAGAAUCAUUCACUUCAUCUUCUGCUAAUUGAAAUAGUGAAAUCUUAUAUGAAAAUUUUCGAAAGUUAGAUAGUUAAGAGAUAAAUUGAAAAAAACUUUGGAAAUUCUUUUAGAAAUAAAAUAUUUUUUUUUUUUGUGUUUAUGUAUGUGGUAAUAUUUAUAGAACCAAACUACGGAAAACUAAUUUGUGUUUUAUAUGUAUAUUAUGUGAUAUAAUAAAAAUCUACUAAAUUUGACCCAAAAAAUC